rnacentral:rRNA from 1 species
GAUGAACGCUAGCUACAGGCUUAACACAUGCAAGUCGAGGGGCAGCAUGAACUUAGCUUGCUAAGUUUGAUGGCGACCGGCGCACGGGUGAGUAACACGUAUCCAACCUGCCGAUGACUCGGGGAUAGCCUUUCGAAAGAAAGAUUAAUACCCGAUGGCAUAGUUCUUCCGCAUGGUAGAACUAUUAAAGAAUUUCGGUCAUCGAUGGGGAUGCGUUCCAUUAGGUUGUUGGCGGGGUAACAGCCCACCAAGCCUUCGAUGGAUAGGGGUUCUGAGAGGAAGGUCCCCCACAUUGGAACUGAGACACGGUCCAAACUCCUACGGGAGGCAGCAGUGAGGAAUAUUGGUCAAUGGACGAGAGUCUGAACCAGCCAAGUAGCGUGAAGGAUGACUGCCCUAUGGGUUGUAAACUUCUUUUAUACGGGAAUAAAGUGAGGCACGUGUGCCUUUUUGUAUGUACCGUAUGAAUAAGGAUCGGCUAACUCCGUG